rnacentral:rRNA from 1 species
GCGGAGGAAAAGAAACCAACAGGGAUUGCCCCAGUAACGGCGAGUGAAGCGGCAACAGCUCAAAUUUGAAAUCUGGUCCCCCCGCGGGGCCCGAGUUGUAAUUUGAAGAGGAUGCUUCUGGCAAGGUGCCGUCCGAGUUCCCUGGAACGGGACGCCGCAGAGGGUGAGAGCCCCGUACGGUCGGACGCCGAGCCUCUGUGAAGCUCCUUCGACGAGUCGAGUAGUUUGGGAAUGCUGCUCAAAAUGGGAGGUAAACCCCUUCUAAAGCUAAAUACCGGCCAGAGACCGAUAGCGCACAAGUAGAGUGAUCGAAAGAUGAAAAGCACUUUGAAAAGAGAGUUAAAAAGCACGUGAAAUUGUUGAAAGGGAAGCGCUUGCGACCAGACUCGCGCCCGUCGGAUCAGCCGUCGCUCGUCGGCGGCGCACUCCGGCGGGCUCGGGCCAGCAUCAGUUCGCCUCGGGGGGAGAAAGGCGGCGGGAAUGUGGCUCUACGGAGUGUUAUAGCCCGCCGCGUAAUACCCCCGGGCGGACUGAGGACCG